UUUCCGAAGGGGGUUUGCUAUAUUUAGAUCGAGAAACUGCCUUUGCUUGCUGCGUCUUCUUCCCCCGAGACUUGCUCUCGCCCUCUCUCUCGCUCUCUUUCUCUCUCUUUCUUUCUUUUCAGCACCAUAUACUCUCUCUCUUCCUCUCUGUUCCUCGAUCAUGUCGUCGCAGGAGAAGGGUCGGCCACUGCCCAAGUUUGGGGAGUGGGAUGUCAACAAUCCUGCUUCGGCUGAAGGAUUCACUGUCAUAUUCAACAAAGCUCGAGACGAGAAGAAGACAAGUAGUAGUAGCUCUGCUGCUCCAGCUUCACCAAGAAGAAAUGAUGUAGGUGGUCUGAAACCAGAAGUCACCUACCAAUAUCCAAGAAAAAGUAGCAAGUGGUUUUGCUGUGUGUAAGUGCUGCUGCCAGAGCACCGAGGGACGAGUUGUCAUCGUUCAUGGUUAAGAUGACUAGGUCGGCCUACUUCUACCUGUGAUGGUGCUGCCAUGUCUCAUGGUCUCUCUCUCUCUCUCUCUCUCUCUCUCUCCUUAUAUAUAUUUAUAUGUGCAUUGUAUGAGAACAAAAUAGGAGUGAUGGAUGGAGAACCUUUUGCAUAUAGUUUCUUUUGGCUUUGUUAUAUACUUUGUGGUGAGGGAAACUUCUAAUAACUGGGUGGGAGUUUUAUUGGGAUACUUCUCCAGUGAUUACAAGUUGACAACAAUGAUGAAUAAUGUUCCAACUGUCCUUGCCCAAA